rnacentral:lncRNA from 1 species
UACCGAGGGAUUACCAUCGUUGUUCUUGUAUUUGAAAAUGCAGUACAAGUAUAUCACUUGGUGUCAUCGUCCAAUAAAAAUUAUAGAUUGACGCUUUAUUUAAACACAAUAUCCAAAAGCAAGAUGAGCUAAAGUGAGCAUAGCUAAAGAAAGAGACCAAAAAAACAAACCAAGACUACAUCGAGAAAAAUUAAGACAGACUCAAGCGCCCAACAUUAUAUGCAUCAGCCCGAAGUACCUGAGCCAA